rnacentral:rRNA from 1 species
CAGCCGCGGUAAUACGGAAGAUGCAAGCGUUAUCCGGAUUUAUUGGGUUUAAAGGGUGCGUAGGUGGUCCGAUAAGUCAGUGGUGAAAUCUUCUUGCUCAACAAGGAAAUUGCCAUUGAAACUGUCAGACUUGAGAGUGGACGAGGUAGGCGGAAUUCGUAGUGUAGCGGUGAAAUGCAUAGAUAUUACGAAGGACUCCAAUAGUGUAGACUGCUUACUAGACCAUUUCUGACACUGAGGCACGAAAGUGUGGGUAGCAAACAGGAUUAGAUACCCCAGUAGUCCG